rnacentral:rRNA from 1 species
AGAAUCAACGCUGGCGGCGUGCCUAACACAUGCAAGUCGCACGAGAAAGGGGAGCAAUCCCCGAGUACAGUGGCGCACGGGUGAGUAACACGUGAAUGAUCUACCUCCGAGUGGGGAAUAACCAAAGAAAUUUUGGCUAAUACCGCAUAACACUUACGAGUCAAAGCAGCAAUGCGCUUGGAGAGGAGUUCGCGGCAGAUUAGCUAGUUGGCGGGGUAAUGGCCCACCAAGGCGAUGAUCUGUA